CCGAGUUGAUUCGAGCUUCGGCUCGACUCUCCCACCCUCUGUGUACCUUACCUCUGUUGCUUUGGCGGGCCGCGGUCCUCCGCGGCCGGCCCCCCUCACCGGGGGCUGGCCAGCGCCCGCCAGAGGACUACAAAACUCCAGUCAGUAAACGUAUCAGUCUGAAAAACAAGUUAAUAAACUA
rnacentral:misc_RNA from 1 species